GGAAGGUUGCGCUGAAUGGUAAGGCAACGGUUUGCUAAACCGUGAGGGCUUUAAAAACCCUCUAUGGGUUCGACUCCCAUACCUUCCGCCA
rnacentral:tRNA from 1 species